UACGUAGGGUGCAAGCGUUGUCCGGAAUUAUUGGGCGUAAAGAGCUCGUAGGCGGUCUGUCGCGUCUGCUGUGAAAACUGGGGGCUCAACCCCCCAGCCUGCAGUGGGUACGGGCAGACUAGAGUGCGGUGGGGGAGAUUGGAACUCCUGGUGUAGCGGUGGAAUGCGCAGAUAUCAGGAGGAACACCGGUGGCGAAGGCGGGUCUCUGGGCCGAUACUGACGCUGAGGCACGAAAGCGUGGGGAGCAAACAGG
rnacentral:rRNA from 1 species